ACGGCUCAGUAACACGUGGACAACCUACCCUAUGGAGGGGGAUAACCCCGGGAAACUGGGGAUAAUACCCCAUAGACUAUGGAAGCUGGAAUGCUCUGUAGUUGAAAGGUCCGCCGCCAUAGGAUGGGUCUGCGGCCGAUUAGGUUGUUGUUGGGGUAACGGCCCAACAAGCCUGUAAUCGGUACGGGUUGUGGGAGCAAGGGCCCGGAGAUGGAUUCUGAGACACGAAUCCAGGCCCUACGGGGCGCAGCAGGCGCGAAAACUUUACAAUGCGGGAAACCGUGAUAAGGGAACUCCGAGUGCCCGUAAAAUCGGGCUGUCCAUCUGUUUAAAUAACAGGUGAAGAAAGGGCCGGGCAAGACCGGUGCCAGCCGCCGCGGUAAUACCGGCGGCUCGAGUGGUGGCCACUAUUACUGGGCUUAAAGCGUUCGUAGCUGGUCUGUUAAGUCUCUGGGGAAAUCUACUGGCUUAACCAAUAGACGUUUCAGGGAUACUGGCAGACUAGGGACCGGGAGAGGUGAGAGGUACUCCAGGGGUAGGAGUGAAAUCCUGUAAUCCUUGGGGGACCACCUGUGGCGAAGGCGUCUCACCAGAACGGCUCCGACAGUGAGGGACGAAAGCUGGGGGAGCAAACCGGAUUAGAUACCCGGGUAGUCCCAGCCGUAAACGAUGUGCGUUAGGUGUAUCGAUGACCACGAGUCAUCGAGGUGCCGAAGAGAAAUCGUGAAACGCGCCGCCUGGGAAGUACGGUCGCAAGGCUGAAACUUAAAGGAAUUGGCGGGGGAGCAC
rnacentral:rRNA from 1 species